rnacentral:rRNA from 1 species
AGUGAACGCUGGCGGUAGGCCUAACACAUGCAAGUCGAACGGCAGCACAGUAAGAGCUUGCUCUUACGGGUGGCGAGUGGCGGACGGGUGAGGAAUACAUCGGAAUCUACUUUUUCGUGGGGGAUAACGUAGGGAAACUUACGCUAAUACCGCAUACGACCUACGGGUUAAAGCAGGGGAUCUUCGGACCUUGCGCGAUUGAAUGAGCCGAUGUCGGAUUAGCUAGUUGGCGGGGUAAAGGCCCACCAAGGCGACGAUCCGUAGCUGGUCUGAGAGGAUGAUCAGCCACACUGGAACUGAGACACGGUCCAGACUCCUACGGGAGGCAGCAGUGGGGAAUAUUGGACAAAGGGCGCAAGCCUGAUCCAGCCAUACCGCGUGGGUGAAGAAGGCCUUCGGGUUGUAAAGCCCUUUUGUUGGGAAAGAAAAGCAGCAGGUUAAUACCCCGCUGUUCUGACGGUACCCAAAGAAUAAGCACCGGCUAACUUCGUG